rnacentral:rRNA from 1 species
AGUGAACGCUGGCGGCAGGCCUAACACAUGCAAGUCGAACGGCAACACGAUGAAGCUUUGCUCUUUGCGGACGCGUGGCGGGCGCGUGAGAAGUGUCUAGCGAACUCUCUUUUUUAGGGGGGUAUCUAGUGGAAACGGUUACUAAUACAGCGUAUCGUCCCAACGGCAGAAAGGAGGACCUUUUGGCCCCUUGCGCUCUUGUAUGCGCCGAUGUGGGAUUAGCUAGUUGGGGGGGUAAAGGCCCACCUAGGCGACGAUCUGUAGCUGGUCAGAGAGGAUGAUCAGCCACACUGGAACUGAGACACGGUCCAGACUCCUACGGGAGGCAGCAGUGGGGAAUAUUGGACAAAGGGCGCAAGCCUGAUGCAGCCAUGCCGCGUGUGUGAAGAAGGCCUUCGGGUUGUAAAGUACUUUUGGCGGGGAAGAAAAGAGUCAGGUUAAUACCUUGGUGCAUUGACGGUACCCGAAGAAGAAGCACCGGCUAACUUCGUG